rnacentral:rRNA from 1 species
UACGGAAUGUGCAAACGUUAUUCGGAAUCACUGGGCUUAAAGAGUCUGUAGGCGGUUUGUUAGGUGAGGUGUGAAAUCCCUCGGCCCAACCGAGGAAUUGCGCUUAAAACCGGCGAGCUAGAGGAGGAUAGAGGUGGGCGGAACUGAUGGUGGAGCGGUGAAAUGCGUUGAUAUCAUCAGGAACACCGGAGGCGAAAGCGGUCCACUGGGUCCUUUCUGACGCUGAUGGACGAAAGCUAGGGGAGCAAACGGG